GAUGAACGCUAGCUACAGGCUUAACACAUGCAAGUCGAGGGGAAACGCCAUCGAAAGCUUGCUUUUGAUGGGCGUCGACCGGCGCACGGGUGAGUAACGCGUAUCCAACCUGCCCAUCACUUGGGAAUAACCUUGCGAAAGUAAGACUAAUACCCAAUGACAUCCCACGAAGACAUCUGAAUGGGAUUAAAGAUUUAUCGGUGAUGGAUGGGGAUGCGUCUGAUUAGCUUGUUGGCGGGGUAACGGCCCACCAAGGCAACGAUCAGUAGGGGUUCUGAGAGGAAGGUCCCCCACAUUGGAACUGAGACACGGUCCAAACUCCUACGGGAGGCAGCAGUGAGGAAUAUUGGUCAAUGGGCGAGAGCCUGAACCAGCCAAGUAGCGUGCAGGAUGACGGCCCUAUGGGUUGUAAACUGCUUUUAUAAGGGAAUAAAGUGGGUCUCGUGAGACUUUUUGCAUGUACCUUAUGAAUAAGGACCGGCUAAUUCCGUG
rnacentral:rRNA from 1 species